UACGGGGGGGGCAAGCGUUGUUCGGAAUUACUGGGCGUAAAGGGCUCGUAGGCGGCCAACUAAGUCAGACGUGAAAUCCCUCGGCUUAACUGGGGAACUGCGUCCGAUACUGGAUGGCUUGGAUUUGGGAGAGGGAUGCGGAAUUCCAGGUGUAGCGGUGAAAUGCGUAGAUAUCUGGAGGAACACCGGUGGCGAAGGCGGCAUCCUGGACCAACAUUGACGCUGAGGAGCGAAAGCUAGGGGAGCAAACGGG
rnacentral:rRNA from 1 species